AUUGAACGCUGGCGGCAUGCCUAACACAUGCAAGUCGAACGGCAGCGCGGGGGCAACCCUGGCGGCGAGUGGCGGACGGGUGAGGAAUGCAUCGGAAUCUGCCCGGUUGUGGGGGAUAACGUAGGGAAACUUACGCUAAUACCGCAUACGACCCAAGGGUGAAAGUGGGGGACCGCAAGGCCUCACGUGAUCGGAGGAGCCGAUGCCGGAUUAGCUAGUUGGCGGGGUAAAGGCCCACCAAGGCGACGAUCCGUAGCUGGUCUGAGAGGAUGAUCAGCCACACUGGAACUGAGACACGGUCCAGACUCCUACGGGAGGCAGCAGUGGGGAAUAUUGGACAAUGGGCGCAAGCCUGAUCCAGCAAUGCCGCGUGGGUGAAGAAGGCCUUCGGGUUGUAAAGCCCUUUUGUACGGGAAGAAAAGCUAGUGGUGAAUACCCGCAGGUCAUGACGGUACCGUAAGAAUAAGCACCGGCUAACUUCGUGCCAGCAGCCGCCGUAAUAC
rnacentral:rRNA from 1 species